rnacentral:rRNA from 1 species
GGCUACACACGUGCUACAAUGGGUAGUACAGAGAGUCGCAAAGCCGCGAGGUGGAGCUAAUCUCAGAAAACUAUUCUUAGUUCGGAUUGUACUCUGCAACUCGAGUACAUGAAGUUGGAAUCGCUAGUAAUCGCGAAUCAGCAAUGUCGCGGUGAAUACGUUCUCGGGUCUUGUACACACCGCCCGUCGCACCACGAGAGUUGGUUGCACCUGAAGUAGCAGGCCUAACCGUAAGGAGGGAUGCUCCGAGGGUGUGAUUAGCGAUUGGGGUGAAGUCGUAACAAGGUAUCCGUACGGGAACGU